rnacentral:rRNA from 1 species
UAACGGCGAGUGAACCGGGAAGAGCUCAAAUUUGAAAUCUGGCGUCCUUCGGGCGUCCGAGUUGUAAUCUAUAGAAACGUUUUCCGUGCCGGACCGUGUCCAAGUCCCUUGGAACAGGGUAUCAGAGAGGGUGACAAUCCCGUACUUGACACGACGACCGGUGCUCUGUGAUACGUUCUCUACGAGUCGAGUUGUUUGGGAAUGCAGCUCAAAAUGGGUGGUAAACUCCAUCUAAAGCUAAAUAUUGGUGGGAGACCGAUAGCGAACAAGUACCGUGAGGGAAAGAUGAAAAGCACUUUGGAAAGAGAGUUAAACAGUAUGUGAAAUUGUUGAAAGGGAAACGAUUGAAGUCAGUCGUGACCGUUGGGUUCAGCCGGUUCUGCCGGUCUACUCCCUUCGGUCGGGUCAACAUCGGUUUUGACCGGCGGAUAAGGAAGGGAGGAAUGUGGCACCCUCCGGGGUGUGUUAUAGCCUCUCGUCGCAUACGUCGGUCGAGACCGAGGAACGCAGCUCGCCUUUAUGGCCGGGGUUCGCCCACGUCCGAGCUUAGGAUGUUGACAUAAUGGCUUUAAACG